UAGUACGGUGAGUGGACCGGGAAGAGCUCAAUUUGAAAUCUGGCGUGCUCAGUGCGUCCGAGUUGUAAUCUAUAGAGGCGUUUUCCGUGCCGGACUGUGUCCAAGUCCCUUGGAACAGGGUAUCAAAGAGGGUGAUAAUCCCGUACUUGACACAAUGACCGGUGCUCUGUGAUACGUCUUCUACGAGUCGAGUUGUUUGGGAAUGCAGCUCAAAAUGGGUGGUGAGUUCCAUCUAAAGCUAAAUAUUGGCGAGAGACCGAUAGCGAACAAGUACCGUGAGGGAAAGAUGAAAAGCACUUUGGAAAGAGAGUUAAACAGUACGGAAAUUGUUGAAAGGGAAACGAUUGAAGUCAGUCGUGACUGAGAGGAUCAGCCGGUUCUGCCGGUGUAUUCCCCUCAGUCGGGUCAACAUCAGUUUUGUUCGGUGGAUAAGGGCAGUUGGAAGGGGGCACCCUCGGGUGUUUAUAGCCA
rnacentral:rRNA from 1 species